rnacentral:rRNA from 2 species
UUGGUGCCUUCGGGAACUCUGAGACAGGUGCUGCAUGGCUGUCGUCAGCUCGUGUUGUGAAAUGUUGGGUUAAGUCCCGCAACGAGCGCAACCCUUAUCCUUUGUUGCCAGCGGUUAGGCCGGGAACUCAAAGGAGACUGCCAGUGAUAAACUGGAGGAAGGUGGGGAUGACGUCAAGUCAUCAUGGCCCUUACGAGUAGGGCUACACACGUGCUACAAUGGCGCAUACAAAGAGAAGCGACCUCGCGAGAGCAAGCGGACCUCAUAAAGUGCGUCGUAGUCCGGAUUGGAGUCUGCAACUCGACUCCAUGAAGUCGGAAUCGCUAGUAAUCGUGGAUCAGAAUGCCACGGUGAAUACGUUCCCGGGCCUUGUACACACCGCCCGUCACACCAUGGGAGUGGGUUGCAAAAGAAGUAGGUAGCUUAACCUUCGGGAGGGCGCUUACCACUUUGUGAUUCAUGACUGGGGUGAAGUCGUAACAAGGUAACCGUAGGGGAACCUGCGGUUGGAUCACCUCCUUA